AGAUCUCAUCAUGUCUCAAUGGAAGAUAAUGUGAUGACAUUUUUGGACAACUGCUUAUGAUGCGAUGAUGUGUAAAACUCCACAAAGUUUGCAUUAGUUAUCACAUUUAGGUGCUUUUCUUGCAUCUCUGUCCUUUCUGUGCAUCAGGUAUUUGGUAGUUACUUCCUUUUCCUGGAUUGCAAAUGCAUACCUAUCAAAGAGUUAGUGAUGCAGUUGUUGGUUCAAGAUUGUUUUGAUUAUAAUGUUGUCAUCCUGGAGUUUUCUUCUAACAUAACCAUGCUUGGUCUUCUGCACCCAUCCUUGUAUUUGAUUAUAUGUUAAUAGAGAGUCAUGCAGCUUCUUUGGGUAUGCAUUCAAAAUUAUGAGACAAGGAAUAUUUCUCAAGUAACUGCUUUCUAAGCCUUGUGAUAUUAUCUGCCACAUGUAUACAGACUUGAUGGUUAAAAGAUGUUGCUGAAAGAAUACAAUGUGACAACCCAAAAGCUGUCUGAAUUGAUGAUAAAACUUUGCCUCCAUAUUCUCAUUUUAGGUAGAAGCAGUGUGUGUCACUGUUGAUGUAAAGAUUAUUUGUGCUUAUCAUUAUCUUUUGGGUUUUCGUGUUAAUGGUUUGGAUCUCAUUAAGCAUCCAGUCAAGUUGCCCAAAUGUUGGUAUGAGUACAACUACUGCUAAUACACUGGGCCACUGUUUUAAUGUAUGCAGAGAGUUUUGAGGUCUACAUUUCCCUUGGUAGUGUGUCUGGGCUGUUAUAUAUUUUGGUGAAGUGUUCCUUGCUACACAUACCAUCAUAAGAUAUGUUUUUAUUUAUACCUAAACACCUGUAGGAUUUGUCAUCGAAUAUUGGUGAAGCAGUCAAGCCAUUGAUGGAAAUGCUGCUUAUCUGAUUUACUUUUUUUGGUCAUUUCACAAUCAUAUGGGAAGAUUAACACUGACCAAAUUCCAUCCCUUUAUCUUUUAAGAAUGUUAUAACCAGUAUAAGGUCCUUUUUUCCUGACAUAAUGACUGUCUAAGAAACAGUAUAUAUGUAUGUAUGUAUGUAUGUAUUUAUGUGUGUACAUAUGGAUGAAUGUGUGUGUGUGUGUAUGUAUACAUGCAUAUUUUAUUUAUUUAAUUUUAAAAAGUAACAUAUAUUUUAGUCACUCAGGUCUGUGUUGGCAAAAAUCAGUAAAUAAAAUUUUUGAAAAUGGUUAUGUCGUUUUUAGACCCAGGUCAAUCCCAAUAGAGCAGACUUCUCCCAUUUUCUAUUUCAGACAUAGUGUAUUCAGGGUUACAGAAUUCUUUAUGUGUUUCUACCUUUUUAGGCAGCGCUUCAAAUAGAGGGAACACACUCUCUCUCUCUGAAAUAUUGAGUUACCCAUUGUCAGGGACACAAUGUCUCAGUGAAACAGUCUUCACAGCAACCAUACAAUAUUUCAGAUUCGACUUCUGUCAUAGAAGAGUAUUUACUUUGGUAGUAAUCUCUGUUUAGUCCUUGUAUAUUUGAUAUGCCUCAAAUGGUUAAUCCAUCAGUCCAUUUAAAAUUGUAACUGAUAUGAGUUAUGUGCAGAUGAUAUUAACAAAUGUUGAUAUCAUCUUAAGUUAAUAUUUCUUAAAUUUCUUAUAUUGAGACUUUAUACAAAGUGUUCCAGGAUAGUUUUAAAUUGGUUUCAAAUUUUGGCACAAAGCUAGCAAUUUUAAGGGAGGGCAAAGUUGAUUAUAUUGACCCCAUGUUCAAAUAGUACUUACUGUAUAGUACUUACUUUCAAAUAGUACUUGAAAGGCUAAAAGGCAAAGCUAACUCAGGAAAAUAUGAACCCAAAACAUAAAAAGCCAGAAGAAAUGCAGUUAGGCAUUUCGUCUAAAUCACUAACAAUUCUACCAGCUCACCACAUUUGGACAGUUUUAAAAUAAAACAAUGAUUGGUUAUGGCAUUUGAUGAAGAGAAGAGGAAAUCAGAAAGAAAAGAAAGAAAAAGGCAAGAUAAUUGCUGCAUAUUUAUAUGAUUAAAACUGCAGUGGUAUCCAAACUAAGGGACAAAGCUUACCAUAUUAAUUCUAUUUAUAGUUUCUUUCCUUGUAUUUUGGAAAUAAUACUGCUUGAAUAUUUAGUAAAUCCUUCUUUUACAUUUGGAUUCCUUCAACAUAGACAGAUGUUUAAGUGAAUUUUAAAAUGCCAUUUGGAACUAUUUCUAUCUUUUAAUCUUCCACCAUGUCCAGAUAUUCAUUAAACUAUACUAUUUCUUCAAACUUCAAUGAAUUUAAAUUGGUUAACUGGUUUGAUUUUGAAGCCAGGUUUUGUUCAAACAUUUAAAAGCAAGUCAGAAUAUUUAACUAUCAACUGUGGUGUCUCUAGAUUUGUUAUCCUUUAAAAUUGUAACUGAUAUGAGUUAUGUGCAGAUGAUAUUAACAAAUGUUGAUAUCAUCUUAAGUUAAUAUUUCUUAAAUUUCUUAUAUUGAGACUUUAUACAAAGUGUUCCAGGAUAGUUUUAAAUUGGUUUCAAAUUUUGGCACAAAGCUAGCAAUUUCAAAUGGAUCAACAAGCAUAUUGAAGACCAUCUUAGUCAACUCUAAGACAAUAAAUCUAAGUGAAAAACUAAAAGAAGACUAAAACUUUUCUCCUGCUAAUCAAUGUUAUUUCUACUUCUGGCAGAAGGCCAACAAUUUUGAUGAGUGUUAAUCAAUACUAAUGAUUCUUGUACUUAACUGAUACUUUAUUUUAUUUUAUUGACCCUGAAAAAAUGAAAGGCAAAGUUGAUCUCAGUGGAAUUUGAACUCAGAAAGUAAAGAGCUGGAAAUUAAAACAGUUGCAAGGCAUCACGUUUGACAUUCUAAUGGUUCUUCCAAUCCAUCACCUAUAAAUG
rnacentral:lncRNA from 1 species